UUUAAUAAAAAAAUGAUAUAUCCUCCUCUUAAAUCUUUUUACUCACGAGAAGAUGACAUAUGUUAUAAUAAGAUACUUUAAUUAUUAAUGAUUGAAUUAUAAAUAUCAUGUAUCACUUUUUUAUGAGUAGAAAGAUUAGUAGAAGGACAUAACAAUCUCAUGGAAUAAAGUUCAUCUUAUUUUUAUUCCCCAAGUCAAUUGGUGGUAGGCGUUUAUUCGCUAUUAAGCUCUGAGUCAUAAUCAAUUUUUCUUCUCUUUUUUUUUUCGGCGG
rnacentral:lncRNA from 1 species